UUUUUUUUUUUCUUUUCUUUUCUUUUCUAGGGCUGCACCCGUGGCAUUUGGAGGUUCCCAGGCUAAGGGUCUAAUCAGAGCUGUAGCCACCAGCCUACGCCAGAGCCACAGCAACGUGGGAUCCAAGCCAUGUCUGUGACCUACACAGCUCAGGGCAACAUCGGAUCCUUAACCCAUUGAGCGAGGCCAGGGAUCAAACCCGCAACCUCAUGGUUCCUAGUCUGAUUCGUUAACGACUGAGCCACAACGGGAACUCCCACAAUAUCUUUUUUGAUGCACCUCCUAGAGUAAUGAAAAUAAAAAUAUAAAUAAACAGAUAGGACCUAAUUAAUUGCAAAAACCUUUGCACACAAAAGAAACCAUGAAAAAAAUGAAAACAAAAAGACAACCCACAGAAUGGGAAAAAAAAUUUUGAAAAUGAAGCCCCCAACAAGGGAUUAAUCUCUAAAAUAUACAAAUGUUCAUUAUUAGUUACCAUCUCAGCUAGGAUUAUGGGACAGAUAGCCUACUGGGAACAUAACACUGGGUUGGUGUCCCCAGACCAGAUGAGCCAGGUACCUGGAGCUGGGUCCCAGGACCAGAGUGGGAAGGCGCUUUAGGAGAGCCAAGAGGACUCAGCCGGGUCUGCCUUCUCCACAAUGUUCCAAUGCUUCCAAGCUUGGCUCUGCAAGAGCUGCCUGGAUAGAUGUUGUAACGGCCUCCCCUAUGGCUUGCAGAAAAUCCCUCAUUUUUAAUUUUAUCUAAUGCUGUAUCUAUGCAACAAGAAAGCCACCAAUUUAAAAAGCGAUAAAUUUAGUUAAUCCAGGAGUUGUUUUGCCUUCAAGACACCAAACUGGUUUGGCUGAUUCUUCGCUGAUGGAAUGAACGGUGCCAGGGUCAUGCAGCUGCAGUUCAGUUAAACAUUGUUUCUGUCCACCCGCCCCCUGCUGGGGUCGCUGGACGACAACCCAAUAACAAGAUUAAAAUGGGAAAAUACUGACAGUCAUCCAAAAGAGUUCAAAAUAAAACUGGGUCUUCUCUUCCUACUCCUCAAAUGUAUACAACCGCCUGUUAACGGAGCUGUGUUAGCAUUUUAAACCAAAUACUUACACACUCACUUUGCAUUCAAACAAAUGAUUUCAGGAAGGAAAUACUGAUCUCGUAUUGACUCGAUUGAUCAUAUUUUAGAAAAAGAAAAAAAGGGCCUCCCCCUUUUUUUCCAAACAAUGUCAGAGUUUUGACCCUAAUCCAUUAAUUUGGGAAACACAAGUAAUUAAAAUUCUUUGAAGUUUAAUUUAGAUGGAAAGUUACAUAAAUUAGGUUGCACUCACCAAUGGACAAAAUAGGACAAUUAAGGAAUCCUCUGGGGAUGUCCUAGGAGAGGGAUCAAUAUUGUAGCAAUUGUUUUUUAAACAUGGAGACGGUCCUUCGAUAAAUUGGAUUUACAUCACUUUUCACUAACACGGCAUCAUAAUUUAGUAAAAAGAAGUUUCGCGCUGUGUAGUCAGGCCUGGCUUCUUGGUCCAAUUCCAACACUUUUUGCUAGAUGGAUUGGAAUGAUCACUACAUUUCUCUAAAGCUCAAGGAAAUAAUUUUAGCUAAUAGAUGAUAGCUAACAGACAUAAUUAUUUGACCACCUCUUAUAAAGCAGAACAGGCAAUAUGCUCUUAAUUCUACUUCCAUGUGCAAAAUUUCCAGAAAAUUCGUCGAGAUUUCACCAAUGUUACCAGGAAAAGUUCUAAGAGACGGUCAAAGAAAAAGACCGUCAAAUACAAUUGAUCCUCAGAAUCCUGCUGCUCACAUCACCUUUUUUUGAUAGGACUCAUUGGCUAAAUGAACUCUCUUAAAUUAUCAGCACCCCAAUUGCUCUGCACACUAAGAAGAAGAAGAAGAAGAAGAAAUAACCUUUCUAGAUAAAUUUGAAGUUCUUUCCCUGUGGCCCUCGGUUCCUGACCAUUUUCCUUCACUUCAUCAAACAGUUGGGGCUGGUCUUACUGUUUUUAUUAGCCAACAUUUAGCAGCUGGCACAAUGCUAAGUACAACUGUAUCCACCAAAGAGCAAAGGUCAUUUACAUUAAGUAUAUAAUACAGGACAGUAUGUUAUCAUGGCUAUGGAUAAAGUUUGUUGAGAAUAAAGUGAUCAUGGUUCGUGGUCAUGUUUUUUUCUAAAGUUUCUUUAAUCCAUAAACUACCCAUCUUCCUACUACGCCAGAUUGAAAUUAAGGGGAAUAAAAAAAUUUUAACUAUGUUAAACACGUGAUAAUUCUGGGAACUUCAUAUGAAAUCUUCAUGUGACAAGAACUCUCCGUACAGUUGUAGGAGGUGCGAUUCCACAUUCAAAUAAAUCAGGUGACAGAACAGCUUUGAACACUGGAACUCUGCAUGACACAGACUGGCAUUUAAACGUGGGCAGCUGACUGAUCCUUGAAGUUCUCUUGGAGUUCCAGGCAGUUUCUAUGAAGUUUCUUACACAGGGAAACUUUUAAGAUUUCAAAACAGGAUUUGUUGUCUCAUCAUUUUCCCUGACAAUCUUUUAACACGCUGUUUCCAAACAGAUGAACCAAUGAGUUCGCAAAUGGCAAAUGGCGAAGUUAUAUUUAUUGGAAAGAUAAAAACGAAACAAACCUGCCAACUGAAAACAUCAAGUUUCGCAUGUUUCUGAUAAAGAAUUUGCUUUGGAUUGGAUCUGAUUCACAUAUGUGUCAGCAGCCUAAAAGCUCUGUUUCAUGAAGUAUUUAAAUGACUGCAACUGAUGUGCUUUGGAAGAAGUCAGAAAAUUGGUCGCUCCAUCUAAGUCCUAUUUAGAUAUUUCAUAGCAUCCUAAUUUGCUCUGGUACCUCUAUUUUUGUAUUGAAGUACAUCUUUUCUUAAAAAUUUUUUAUAAAAGUAUAGUGGAUUUACAAUGUUGUGCCAAUUUCUGCUGUACAGCAAAAUGACCCAGUUGUACACAUAUAUACAUUCUCCUUCUUAUAUUAUCUUCCAUCAUGUUCUAUCCCAGGGACCUCACUGCUCAUCCAUUCUAAAUGGAAUGGUUUGCAUCUACAAAGCACAUCUUUAUUUUUCUUUUUUGCCCACCUUUCCACAGGGCAACUCCACACUUUGCCCUAUUAUAUGUGAGAAUAACUCUGUAAAUCAUUGUGGGAGAUUCUGUUCCCAAAUAUUUGCUGAUCCUUCCAGUGGAAGAAUUUUGCUCCCUCACCCACUGAUGGCAGGCCUGGCCAUGUGGCUUGCUAUGGUCCAGCAUUCCUUGGCCAAUAAUUGACAGACAGAAUCGAGAGUCUUCAAUUUUUUAACUGUAUAUCUCCUAAAAUAAUUUUUACAAGCUAUGGAUUUCCUCUAUAUUGUUUAAGUGGACAACUAACAUUUUCCAUCAGUAUGUGCAAAAGUCAUCAUUUUGAUUCUUGAAAAUUAUAAAUGUGGGAGGUUUUUAUCCUAAAUUUUGAUUUUUUAAAAUAAAACCAUUUCAUCACCCUUUUAAAUGUACCAAAACAGACACAGUAUCAAUUAUUAUAUGAGCUGCAAUCAUAUCUUAUAUAUUGUAAAAAUACAUAAACAAGUUUUCUUUGAUAGUUGGAAAAAUUAGAUCAUUCCCUUUUGGGAUGAACUUAUAUUUGCAUUUUACUUUCCACACAAAGUUUUGAAUCCUGACUAUCAGUACCUUAUCAUUCUUCUCAGAAGGCAAAUGUAUGUAAUUAUAUACCUGCAUAUAAUGUGAAUUUGAACUUUUUAUCAAAAAGCUCCAAGAGUGGGAGUUCCCAUAGUGCUCAGGAGGUUAUGAACCCAACUAGUAUCCACGAGGAUGCAGGUUCAAUAGCUCAGUAAGUUAAGGAUCCUGCAUUGCCAUGAGGUGUGGUGUAGGUCACAGACGUGGCUCAGAUCUAGUGUUGCUGUGGCUGUGGUGUAGGCCAGCAGUUGCAGCUUUGAUUCGAUCCCUAGCCUGAGAACUUCCAUGUGCUGC
rnacentral:lncRNA from 1 species